rnacentral:rRNA from 2 species
GCCUGGCGGCGUGCUAUACAUGCAGUCGAGCGGACAGAUGGGAGCUUGCUCCCUGAUGUUAGCGGCGGACGGGUGAGUAACACGUGGGUAACCUGCCUGUAAGACUGGGAUAACUCCGGGAAACCGGGGCUAAUACCGGAUGGUUGUCUGAACCGCAUGGUUCAGACAUAAAAGGUGGCUUCGGCUACCACUUACAGAUGGACCCGCGGCGCAUUAGCUAGUUGGUGAGGUAACGGCUCACCAAGGCGACGAUGCGUAGCCGACCUGAGAGGGUGAUCGGCCACACUGGGACUGAGACACGGCCCAGACUCCUACGGGAGGCAGCAGUAGGGAAUCUUCCGCAAUGGACGAAAGUCUGACGGAGCAACGCCGCGUGAGUGAUGAAGGUUUUCGGAUCGUAAAGCUCUGUUGUUAGGGAAGAACAAGUGCCGUUCAAAUAGGGCGGCACCUUGACGGUACCUAACCAGAAAGCCACGGCUAACUACGUGCCAGCAGCCGCGGUAAUACGUAGGUGGCAAGCGUUGUCCGGAAUUAUUGGGCGUAAAGGGCUCGCAGGCGGUUUCUUAAGUCUGAUGUGAAAGCCCCCGGCUCAACCGGGGAGGGUCAUUGGAAACUGGGGAACUUGAGUGCAGAAGAGGAGAGUGGAAUUCCACGUGUAGCGGUGAAAUGCGUAGAGAUGUGGAGGAACACCAGUGGCGAAGGCGACUCUCUGGUCUGUAACUGACGCUGAGGAGCGAAAGCGUGGGGAGCGAACAGGAUUAGAUACCCUGGUAGUCCACGCCGUAAACGAUGAGUGCUAA